AUUUUACCAUGUUGUUCAAGCUGGACUUGAACUCUUGAAGCUCAAGUGAUCAUUCCACCUCUGGGUCCCAAAGUGCUGGGAUUAUAGGUGUGAGCCACCAU